AGUGAACGCUGGCGGUAGGCCUAACACAUGCAAGUCGAACGGCAGCACAGUAAGAGCUUGCUCUUACGGGUGGCGAGUGGCGGACGGGUGAGGAAUACAUCGGAAUCUACUUUUUCGUGGGGGAUAACGUAGGGAAACUUACGCUAAUACCGCAUACGACCUACGGGUGAAAGCAGGGGAUCUUCGGACCUUGCGCGAUUGAAUGAGCCGAUGUCGGAUUAGCUAGUUGGCGGGGUAAAGGCCCACCAAGGCGACGAUCCGUAGCUGGUCUGAGAGGAUGAGCAGCAACACGGAAACUGAGACACGUUCCAGACUCCUAGGGAAGGCACCAGUGGGGAAUAUUGGACAAGGGGCGCAGGCCUGACCCAGCCAUACCGGGGGGGGGAAAAAGGCCUUCGGUUUGUAAAGCCUUUUUGUGGGAAAAGAAAAGCAGCGGGUUAAUACCCCGCUGUUCUGAGGGUACCAAAAGAAAAAGCCCCGGCUAACUUCGUG
rnacentral:rRNA from 1 species